UACGUAGGGUGCAAGCGUUAAUCGGAAUUACUGGGCGUAAAGCGUGCGCAGGCGGUCUUGCAAGACAGAUGUGAAAUCCCCGGGCUCAACCUGGGAACUGCAUUUGUGACUGCAAGGCUGGAGUACGGCAGAGGGGGAUGGAAUUCCGCGUGUAGCAGUGAAAUGCGUAGAUAUGCGGAGGAACACCGAUGGCGAAGGCAAUCCCCUGGGCCUGUACUGACGCUCAUGCACGAAAGCGUGGGGAGCAAACAGG
rnacentral:rRNA from 1 species